UACGGGGGGGGGCAAGCGUUGUUCGGAAUUACUGGGCGUAAAGGGCUCGUAGGUGGCCAACUAAGUCAGACGUGAAAUCCCUCGGCUUAACCGGGGAACUGCGUCUGAUACUGGAUGGCUUGAGUUCGGGAGAGGGAUGCGGAAUUCCAGGUGUAGCGGUGAAAUGCGUAGAUAUCUGGAGGAACACCGGUGGCGAAGGCGGCAUCCUGGACCGACACUGACGCUGAGGAGCGAAAGCCAGGGGAGCGAACGGG
rnacentral:rRNA from 1 species